CGUGGGUAACCUGCCCAAGAGAUCGGGAUAACACCUGGAAACAGAUGCUAAUACCGGAUAACAACAGAUGAUGCCUAUCAACUGUUUAAAAGAUGGUUCUGCUAUCACUCUUGGAUGGACCUGCGGUGCAUUAGCUAGUUGGUAGGGUAACGGCCUACCAAGGCUAUGAUGCAUAGCCGAGUUGAGAGACUGAUCGGCCACAUUGGGACUGAGACACGGCCCAAACUCCUACGGGAGGCAGCAGUU
rnacentral:rRNA from 1 species